ACUUCCACAAGUCUAAAUAAGCUACGAUAAAUGCUGCAUAAUGCAAGUAUGCAAUAAAGGAGAGUAUUGAAAAUUGAAACAACGGUUUCUGGUGGAGCUUGAUCAAUGCAUCUUCUUUGUAACAGAUAACAUGGGCUUAGUCUGCAGCUGAAGUCGUCGUUUUCGUGAAGCUGAUGCUGAAGAAAAUGCUCAGGAUGCAGAAAUUGAAACAAGAAUCAAGUUAGAAACAAAGGUUGAAAAGCAUAUUCAGAAACUUUUAUUACUAGGUGCUGGAGAGUCUGGGAAGUCUACAAUCUUUAAGCAGGCAAGAAAUUGCAUCUUCUCAACUGCUUGUGAAUUAUGAUAGUAUAUGAUUGCUAUUGGGUGUAUUUAUACUUCUUGC